GUGGGGAAUUUUGGACAAUGGGGGAAACCCUGAUCCAGCGACGCCGCGUGAAGGAUGAAGGCCUUCGGGUUGUAAACUUCUUUUGGAGGGGACGAAUAAAUUGACGGUACCCUCAGAAAAAGCCACGGCUAACUACGUGCCAGCAGCCGCGGUAAUACGUAGGUGGCGAGCGUUACUCGGAAUUACUAGGCGUAAAGCGUAUGUAGGCGGUUGUAUAAGUCUAUGGUGAAAGUGCGUGGCUGAAAUGGGAAGGGAAAUGGAUACUGUAGAGAUUGGGUGUUGGAGGGGGAGACGGAAUUCCUGGUGUAGCGGUGAAAUGCGUAGAUAUCAGGAGGAACACCGAUGGCGAAAGCAGUCUCCUGGCCAAAUACUGACGCUGGGGUACGAAAGCUAGGGUAGCAAACAGGAUUAGAAACCCCGGUAGUCC
rnacentral:rRNA from 1 species